rnacentral:tRNA from 1 species
GGCGCCGUAGCUUAAUUGAAUAGAGCAUCUGACUACGGUCAGAAGGUUACAGGUUUGAGUCCUGUCGGCGUCA